UUCAUAUGAAAAUUGGUUGAC
rnacentral:piRNA from 1 species